CUGGAUUUCUCAGAGGAGGAAAUUCAAGAACAGUUAGCCCUCCUUGGCUACAAAAACAUACCAAAGCACAGGCUGCGUGAAUUUAAACAAGAUCUGGAUGAGCUGGUUCGACGAGGGGAGUGGAAAGGCCUUUCCUCAUCGAAUGAGAUAAAUGCCAAAUCUCAGGCACCUACACCUCAGCCAAGUCCCCCUGCCUAUACCAAAGAAAAGGUUAGUCCACACUGCUUUAAAGGCACUAGUGAAGCAUUCUUCCUACAUGCAGGCAGUACAGACCAUGCCAGAAAG